CAGAUGCCCAUGAAACAAGCGAAGAUAUCACUAAGUAAGGAGCCUGUGUCAUUUAAAAAAGCUUUGACUGAUCAGCUGGGAGUCCUUUUGAAAGGGACUAACAGCACCGUGGAGCUAGAAGACGACCGGAAGAUAAGAGUGUCCGUGAACAACACUGAAGCUACAGAAAAGGCAUUGGAAGCAAAAUCUCAGGCUGCUGGCUUCACAUAUGACACUCCGAAAAAACCAGAGGUAAAAGGAGUCGUUACAUACUACAUAGACAGGGCGGCAAGUCCUCCGGCUCUUGUAGCAGAAUACGAGGAGAACCUUUCCUUAGUCAUGCACAAAUUGGCCCUGCCCAUAUUGAAUUUUUUGAAAACGGAUGAAGCGAAAACGGGGCUCGCAGCACCGCAAAAUUCAAAAGAGAAUUUGAAAUGAAUUAUCCGUCGAGCCAGUGUGCGUGCUCACCUGUGCCAUGUUAUGGUGAGUUCCUCGUCAGGGCAACAUGCUGAACGGUAGAUAACCAAGGCAAGCUGUGGUGGUUCUUUGAGGUCAGGAAAUUUUUAGAACAGCUUUCCUUUGUUAUUUUUAUUCUAGUGGGGCUAAAGCUGUUCAUUGGGAGAUCUGGAGCCUUCAGGGCAAAUAGAGUUCGCAGGUAUGGACCUGCAACUUGCAACUGAAUGUCUAUAGAGGUGCAGAAAUAAAUACUGUGCUGUACUUCUGCCAAGUGCAGAAGGUAAGAAGUUCGUCAUGUCAUUAAAAAAAAAGCCUUGCACGUCUUGGCAGGCAGUUUGAAUAAGAUGAAUUUCAUUUAUCUUUUUAUUUAUACAUACUGCAGACCAGCAUCUUGGUCUAAGCAGGACAGGCAAAAUUUCAUAUAUUAAUUGGGCACCAUGCCACAAUUAAGCAAAAAUUAUGCACUGUGGCUCAGUCACCGCACUGAAGCUUGUGCAGACCAUAUAUCCGGUCAGCUGCCUUUAGCCAACCAGGAUUUCAUUUGGACAUUACGGAAUGGCUUCACU